rnacentral:lncRNA from 1 species
CGAGAAUUAACAAAAGUUUAACCAUUGAAUAUAUGAAGAACUUCUACAAAUAUAUGAAGGAAAAUGUAAACAACAGAGAAAUAAACCAGCAUCUCACAGAAGAGAAAAUACAAAUGGAAAAUAAGCACAUAAAAUGUUUAGACUUACUAAUAUUCAAAAAAUACAAAGUAAGAUAAAAAUAAAAUACCCUUUUAUAGCUUCUAAAUUGGCCAUAUGAAGAAGUCUGGUUGAGGAGAAAAUAGGUUAAAGGAACUCAUAAGUUGCUGAUAAGAGUUUGCUUUGGAAAACAAUUUGUCAUUCCUUGUAAAGUUGAAUAUUUGCAUACCCUAAGACUCAGUGAUUUUACUUUUAGGUGCAUACGCCAGAAAAAAAAUACUUGCAUAUGAGUACUAGGAGAUGCAUGACAAUGUUCACGGCAGCAGUAUUCAUGGCAGUGAAAAAUGAAAAGAACUGAAAUGCCCAUUGAUAAAAACGUCUACUUAUUUGUGUCAUCUUUGCACAGUGGAAUUGUGCGAGUGGAAAUGAUUGAUCUACAGCUAGGAGAAGCAGCAGAGCUCAAUCUCAAAAACAUAACGUUGUGUGGAAAAAGCUAACCUCAGAACACUUUGCGGCUCUAUCUUAGCAAACCAGGAGAGAAAUUCUCCUGAUGGCCUUGAAGAAGCAAACAGCCACCUGGUUAAGCCCCUGUGGAUAGUGCCAAGUGGCAGGAAAGUGGGAGCCACCUCUAGGACCUGAGGAUUAAAGUCAGUAAGAGCUGGGACCUCACUCAUGCAGACUCGAGGACAUGAAUUCGACCAACAACUUGAAUGAGCUUGGAAGUGGAUUCUUCCCUAGUCCAGUCUUCAGAAAUUAAGAAUGUUCCCAAAGAAUGAUGGAGACAUUUCAAAAGGAUACGGAAGCCAGAUUGUGGGCGCUUCUACUGGCCAACUCUGGGACAUCGUGGACAUCAAAAUAAAUUUGUAAUAAUAAAGGAUUAUAGCCUAUUAGUUAAAUCAGAAAAAUCUGAUUUAACUAAAUGAGUAGGAGGAAAAGAAAGCUCUUCCUUAUAUUAGAAAGUCAAUUAAUAAAUGCAGAAAGGAAUGAAAAAAUUAGAAAAGCCACCAUUUGGCAACCAUGGCAGGCAGAAUGGGGAGUAUGCCUCCAGACAGUAAUUCCUUUCAAACUGGUUUAUAGGAACUCACUGAGCUUGCUGAUCGACCUCUGAGAGGCAAAGUUUCUGAAUUAUGAAGUACUGAUUAUAUAAACUUAGACAGAGACAUGCUUCAUUAUUUAAUAGGACUGUGUCAAAAGCCUACUAUUAGGAUGAUGUGUUGGGUGUGGAACAGGGUCUCUUCCUGCCAGGAACACUGGUGAUUUCACUCCGUGUUCAGGCUGAUCUUUGAAGUUGAAGACAAGCAGAAGAAUCCUUCUAAAAUUUAGCCAUGCCCAUAGGCUGGGAGGGACACUGCUCCAUUCAGAGGCAGCAAAGCACAUUACUGUAUCUCCUAUAGAGCUUUGAGCAGUCCAGUGUACAUGGAGAAACUUAGUAAAUGUUGUUGAAUUAGUGAAUGAACAAAUCAAUGGACCAAGUCAGGGGUAAGUCUUACAUUUGUCAUCUAGGUGAUUAAGAAAGGAAAAAGUAUCUGUUUCAAGAGGAUUACAAUCUAACUGUACUCCAAUAGUAAAAUUUACUCUUUUGGAAUCUGAAGACA